rnacentral:rRNA from 1 species
GGACGAACGCUGGCGGCGUGCUUACCCCAUGCAAGUCGAACGGAAAGGCCCUGCUUUUGUGGGGUGCUCGAGUGGCGAACGGGUGAGUAACACGUGAGUAACCUGCCCUUGACUUUGGGAUAACUUCAGGAAACUGGGGCUAAUACCGGAUAGGAGCUCCUGCUGCAUGGGGGGGGUUGGAAAGUUUCGGCGGUUGGGGAUGGACUCGCGGCUUAUCAGCUUGUUGGUGGGGUAGUGGCUUACCAAGGCUUUGACGGGUAGCCGGCCUGAGAGGGUGACCGGCCACAUUGGGACUGAGAUACGGCCCAGACUCCUACGGGAGGCAGCAGUGGGGAAUAUUGCACAAUGGGCGGAAGCCUGAUGCAGCAACGCCGCGUGCGGGAUGACGGCCUUCGGGUUGUAAACCGCUUUCGCCUGUGACGAAGCGUGAGUGACGGUAAUGGGUAAAGAAGCACCGGCUAACUACGUG